GACAGAGGGUGCAAACGUUGUUCGGAUUUACUGGGCGUAAAGCGCGGGCAGGCGGUCGGUCAAGUGGGAUGUGAAAGCGCCCGGCUAAACCGGGCGAGGCCAUUCCAAACUGGCAGGCUGGAGGGCAGUAGAGGUGGGUGGAAUUCCGGGUGGAGUGGUGAAAUGCGUAGAGAUGUGGAGGAACACCAGUGGCGAAGGCGACUCUUUGGUCUGUAACUGACGCUGAGGCGCGAAAGCGUGGGGAGCAAACAGG
rnacentral:rRNA from 1 species